GAUCAGCUACGCCACGGUGAAUACGUUCCCGGGCCUUGUACACACCGCCCGUCACGCCAUGGAAGCUGUGAGCGCCCGAAGUCCGUGUCGGAACCUGUGCAAACAGGACCAAGCGGCCGAAGGCGAGCGCAGUGACUGGGGCGAAGUCGUAACAAGGUAGCCGUAGGGGAACCUGCGGCUGGAUCACCUCCUUAACGGA
rnacentral:rRNA from 1 species